rnacentral:rRNA from 1 species
CAGCCGUAAACUAUGCGCGUUAGGUGUAUCGGUGACCACGAGUUACCGAGGUGCCGAAGGGAAACCGUGAAACGUGCCGCCUGGGAAGUACGGUCGCAAGGCUGAAACUUAAAGGAAUUGGCGGGGGAGCACCACAACAGGUGGAGCCUGCGGUUUAAUUGGACUCAACGCCGGGAAGCUCACCGGAUAGGACAGCAGAAUGAUUGCCGGGCUGAAGACCCUGCAUGACUAGCUGAGAGGUGGUGCAUGG